UCCUGACGCUCGGGGACGAAAGCUAGGGGAGCGAACAGGAUUAGAUACCCUGGUAGUCCUAGCUGUAAACGAUGGGCACUAGAUGCUCGUUCUUUUGAAUGGGUGUCGUAGUUAACGCGUUAAGCGCCCCACCUGGGGACUACGGUCGCAAGACUAAAACUCAAAGGAAUUGACGGGGGGCUGCACAAGCGGUGGAACACGUGGUUUAAUUCGAUGCUACGCGAGGAACCUUACCAGGGCUUGACAUGCUGGAAGUAGCCACCCGAAAGGAUUGGCCACCUGUAACCAAUCAGGAACCAGUGCAGGUGCUGCAUGGCUGUCGUCAGCUCGUGCCGUGAGGUGUUCCCUUAAGUGGGAAAACGAGCGCAACCCUCGUCCUUAGUUGCCACCUUCGAGUAAUCGGAGCGCACUCUAAGGAGACUGCCCGCGUUAAGUGGGAGGAAGGUGAGGAUGACGUCAAGUCCGCAUGGCCCUUAUGCCCUGGGCUACACACGUGUUACAAUGGCGCAUACAGUGGGGGGCUAAACCGCAAGGUGGAGCAAAUCCUAUAAAGUGUGCCUCAGUUCGGAUUGAGGGCUGCAAUUCGCCCUCAUGAAGCUGGAAUCGC
rnacentral:rRNA from 1 species